AGAGUUUGAUCCUGGCUCAGGAUGAACGCUGGCGGCGUGCUUAACACAUGCAAGUCGAACGAAGUCCAUGGAGCUUGCUCCGGAAGACUUAGUGGCGAACGGGUGCGUAACACGUGAGAAACCUGCCCCGGACUUUGGGAUAACAGUUGGAAACGACUGCUAAUACCGAAUACCACCAUUUCCCCGCAUGGGGAGAUGAUGAAAGGUCCGCCGGUCCGGGAGGGUCUCACGGCCUAUCAGCUUGUUGGAGAGGUAACGGCUCACCAAGGCAUCGACGGGUAGCUGGUCUGAGAGGAUGAUCAGCCACACUGGGACUGAGACACGGCCCAGACUCCUACGGGAGGCAGCAGUGGGGAAUCUUGCACAAUGGGCGCAAGCCUGAUGCAGCAACGCCGCGUGCGGGAAGAAGGCCCUAGGGUUGUAAACCGCUUUCAGUAGGGAAGAAAAUGACGGUACCUACAGAAGAAGGUGCGGCCAACUACGUGCCAGCAGCCGCGGUAACACGUAGGCACCAAGCGUUAUCCGGAUUUAUUGGGCGUAAAGAGCUCGUAGGCGGUUCAGUCAGUCGGGUGUGAAAACUUGAGGCUUAACCUCAAGAGGUCACUCGAUACUACUGUGACUAGAGUGCGGUAGGGGAGCGGGGAAUUCCUGGUGUAGCGGUGAAAUGCGCAGAUAUCAGGAGGAACACCAGUGGCGAAGGCGCCGCUCUGGGCCGUAACUGACGCUGAGGAGCGAAAGCAUGGGUAGCAAACAGGAUUAGAUACCCUGGUAGUCCAUGCCGUAAACGUUGGGCACUAGGUGUGGGGUCUCAACCAACGAGAUCCGCGCCGUCGCUAACGCAUUAAGUGCCCCGCCUGGGGAGUACGGUCGCAAGACUAAAACUC
rnacentral:rRNA from 1 species